GACGAACGCUGGCGGCGUGCUUAACACAUGCAAGUCGAACGGAAAGGCCCUGCUUUUGUGGGGUGCUCGAGUGGCGAACGGGUGAGUAACACGUGAGUAACCUGCCCUUGACUUUGGGAUAACUUCAGGAAACUGGGGCUAAUACCGGAUAGGAGCUCCUGCUGCAUGGUGGGGGUUGGAAAGUUUCGGCGGUUGGGGAUGGACUCGCGGCUUAUCAGCUUGUUGGUGGGGUAGUGGCUUACCAAGGCUUUGACGGGUAGCCGGCCUGAGAGGGUGACCGGCCACAUUGGGCCUGAGAUACGGCCCAGACUCCUACGGGAGGCAGAAGUGGGGAGUAUUGCACAAUGGGCGGAAGCCUGAUGCAGCAACGCCGCGUGCGGGAUGACGGCCUUCGGGUUGUAAACCGCUUUCGCCUGUGACGAAGCGUGAGUGACGGUAAUGGGUAAAGAAGCACCGGCUAACUACGUG
rnacentral:rRNA from 1 species